rnacentral:tRNA from 1 species
GCCAGUGUGGUAAAGUGGUUUGAGGUUGGACUACAACUCUGGAGACCAGGGUUCGAUUCCCAGUCUGGCU